UUCCAGCUGGAAAGAUGGGAGGGGAAGACACACUCCUCAGUCCCCACCCAGUAUCGACUGAGGUCAAGAAUUCUAACAGAGCCCAGCUCCAAAUAUGACAGUCUGCCCGGCAUCCCUGUCGUCUGCCUCUGUUGUGUUUCCGCCCUGGGCUCUCUAUCUGUCUUGGUCUCUGUCUUGCAGCAUUCCUAGGUGUUCGACCUGUCACCCUACUACAGUUCCCUAGCUAGUGCCUUUGCUUUCUGUUUAGAUUUUUCUCUUGUCCCCUUUCUUGAGGUUGUUCUUGUCCUGCCCUCCUCCUUGCUCUCUCCCACGCCCUGGCAGCCAUCUCCAGUCUCCUUCCUGUUCAUCUCGCUUCUCCAGGUGUCAGCUCCACCCCAGCCUGUCUCCAGCCUUCCUGUAUAGGAGAGCCCAUCUCAAGUGAGGCACAGUGGCCUUGCCAUGCAGGGGUAUCCCUGAGCUCCCACAAGACCUGUGUAGGAGGAGAGGAGAGAUGGCAGAUGAGGAGUGGGUGGCCAGGGCCACCAGGGAACUGGGGGGGCUUUCCCAGCCCACCUAGUCCAGGCCCAGAGACACCCUUCUCGGAACCUGCGGCAGGGAUGGUGGUCUUUCCUCAGGCAUCCCACAGCUGGGGUUCUGGGGGACACCCUGUGCUGUAGCCACUGAUGGUCUCCACCCACUCCCCCACCACUUAAACAAGCCAAGCCAGCUCUGCAAAUGGUUUACAACUGGUCCCCCAACCUCCCUUCGACCAGCUUUGCCUCCCGCAGAGAAACUCUAAGCCCCAGUGCUUAUAUUGGCACAGGCCCUCUCCUGAGCCCCAAAGCGACCAGGCAGUGCCCUUCUGUCAUGGGGGCGUGGGGUGAGCAAUGGAGGGAUGGGGUGAGACAUUUCUGUACCUGGGGCCCUGGGGAAUGAGCCUAAGGCAUGAUGUUAAGGUUGAGACCCUGUGGUGGCUCUUAGAUUGGCAGAAAGAGUGAAAAAAGGAAGGGGUGAAUGCAGACAUGGUCACCCACGUAAACACUCGGCACUCCUGCUCCCCGGUGAGGGCCUGGCAGUCUGCCCUGGAAGGCUGGUGAGUCCCUUCACUCUCUUGUCCCUCAGCCAGGUCCCCACUUUGCUUUCUCUCUUGUCCCCUAGGGGAGCAGCCUUCUUCCCCAGGCAAGGCCUCCACUGUGGCUUCUCUGCACCGCCACCUCUUCGUGUGGUCCACUUCACUUAAGCAUCUUGGCAACCUUCCUUUACAGAGGACGAAACAGGAAUCAGAGAGGUGAAAAGCCAGCCCAGAACACAGCAAAUUGCUGCCUUCCUUCCUCCCCAGGACUGCCUGAAGUGAGCCAGCUGGAGGUGAAAAAUAACGUCUGUCCUCCCCAUGCCUCACGCUGCCUCUUCUGGACGCCCCCUUGAGCCCCAAGUCUGGAUCCGGUGCCUUCCUGAGAGCGCCUGCAGCACCCCAUGCUGCCCUGUCCCUGACCCUGUUGACGGGUACCUGCUGCCUCGUGUACAUCUCCCACCAGGCAAAUUCUGACAGGAGACCCCCCUGUGAGAAAGGAGAAUGGUGGGGUUGGGCAGAGGGAGAAGCCGACCCCCCUGUGGUUGCAGCCGAGGCUUCAUCUGGUCCCGUGAGGUGCCCAGGAGCUGGGAUGGCCUUUUGGAACCAUCCCACAUUGUGGCAAGGAGGCCAGGCCGUUUCUUGUACCAGGCCACACCCUGGGAGAAAGCAGGACCUCGGGCAAGGCUGUUCCAGGGAGGGGCUGGUGCCAGCACCAGCAGCUGGCAUCCGGUCCGGUAGCUGGGAGGUGGGUCUGUCUCCUGAAGAGGGAACCUGGGCAGAGUACUGCAGUGUCUGCCACAGACACCCUGAAGACAGAGACAUUUUUGAUUUCCAUGGUAACACGUAGCAUGUUACCUUACACUUAAUAGGUAUCCCUUAAAUAUUUGCAUGUGUAAAUGAAAGCAUUUUGAGAGCCUUUUCUUCUCUGGCUAAAAAUGACAUAUUCUUCAGUCAUUCUUCAGGCAACAUGGUUUUCUGUGUGUGCCUCAUCCUGGCUUCUGUCUACUUUGAGCACAGUCACGUGCCACAGAAUGACGUUUUGGUCAAAGAUGGACUGCAUAUACGACAGCGGUCAUAGAGCUGAAAAGUUCCCAUUGCCUAGUGACGUUGCAGCCCUCAUAAUGGUGUGCUGCCAUGCGUCAGCAGUGCUCAUGUGCUGGUGUGGUGCUGUGCAGACAAACCUGCUGCAGUGCCAGUCACAUGAAAGUCUAGCACAUACGAUUCUGUACAGUACACAAUACUUGAAAAUAAAUAAUUAUGUUAUUGGUUUAUGUAUUAUCACACUA